rnacentral:rRNA from 1 species
AUUGAACGCUGGCGGCAUGCUUUACACAUGCAAGUCGUGCGGCAGCGCGGGGGCAACCCUGGCGGCGAGCGGCGAACGGGUGAGUAAUGCAUCGGAACGUAUCCUCGAGUGGGGGAUAACCCAGCGAAAGUUGGGCUAAUACCGCAUGAGCUCUGAGGAGGAAAGCGGGGGACCUGCGAGGGCCUCGCGCUGGAGGAGCGGCCGAUGUCCGAUUAGCUAGUUGGUGGGGUAAAGGCUUACCAAGGCGACGAUCGGUAGCUGGUCUGAGAGGAUGAUCAGCCACACUGGGACUGAGACACGGCCCAGACUCCUACGGGAGGCAGCAGUGGGGAAUUUUGGACAAUGGGGGCAACCCUGAUCCAGCCAUGCCGCGUGAGUGAAGAAGGCCUUCGGGUUGUAAAGCUCUUUCGGACGGAACGAAAUGGGCGGGACUAAUACUCCUGUCUGAUGACGGUACCGUAAGAAGAAGCACCGGCUAACUACGUG